GGGCCCGCACAAGCAGCGGAGCAUGUGGUUUAAUUCGACGCAACGCGAAGAACCUUACCUGGGCUUGACAUGUACCUGACCCCCCUGGAAACAGGGGUUCCCUUCGGGGCAGGUUCACAGGUGGUGCAUGGCUGUCGUCAGCUCGUGUCGUGAGAUGUUGGGUUAAGUCCCGCAACGAGCGCAACCCCCGUCGCAUGUUGCCAGCAUUUAGUUGGGGACUCAUGCGAGACUGCCGGUGACAAACCGGAGGAAGGUGGGGAUGACGUCAAGUCAUCAUGCCCCUUAUGUCCAGGGCUACACACGUGCUACAUUGGCGCGUACAGAGGGCUGCGAUACCGCGAGGUGGAGCGAAUCCCUUAAAGCGCGUCUCGGUUCGGAUUGCAGGCUGAAACCCGCCUGCAUGAAGGCGGAGUUGCUAGUAAUCGCGGAUCAGCAUUGCCGCGGUGAAUACGUUCCCGGGCCUU
rnacentral:rRNA from 1 species